rnacentral:rRNA from 1 species
UGGUGCGGUCAUACCAGGGCUACUACACCGGAUCCCAUCAGAACUCCGCAGUUAAGCGCCCUUGGGCCGGAUCAGUACUGGGAUGGGUGACCUGGGAUGGGUGACCUCCCGGGAAGUCCCGGUGCUGCACCCUC